UACGGGGGGAGCAAGCGUUGUUCGGAUUUACUGGGCGUAAAGGGCGCGUAGGCGGUCAGCACAAGUCAGUUGUGAAAUCUCCGGGCUUAACUCGGAAAGGUCAACUGAUACUGUGCGACUAGAGUGCGGAAGGGGCAACUGGAAUUCUCGGUGUAGCGGUGAAAUGCGUAGAGAUCGGGAGGAACACCAGAGGCGAAGGCGGCGACCUGGACAGAUACUGACACUAAACUACGAAAGCGUGGGGAGCAAACAGG
rnacentral:rRNA from 1 species